rnacentral:rRNA from 1 species
GACGAACCGUCCAAACGUUAUUCGGAAUUACUGGGCUUAAAGGGUGCGUAGGCGGCCUGACAAGUUGGGUGUGAAAUCCCUCGGCUCAACCGAGGAAUAGCGCUCAAAACUGUCAGGCUAGAGGGAGAUAGAGGUGAGCGGAACUUAAGGUGGAGCGGUGAAAUGCGUUGAUAUCUGAAGGAACACCGGUGGCGAAAGCGGCUCACUGGAUCGCUUCUGACGCUCAGGCACGAAAGCUAGGGGAGCGAACGGG